CCUACGGGUGGCAGCAGUGAGGAAUAUUGGUCAAUGGACGAGAGUCUGAACCAGCCAAGCAGCGUGCAGGAUGACUGCCCUAUGGGUUGUAAACUUCUUUUAUAUGGGAAUAAAAUGUUCCACGUGUGGGAUUUUGUAUGUACUAUAUGAAUAAGGAUCGGCUAACUCCGUGCCAGCAGCCGCGGUAAUACGGAGGAUCCGAGCGUUAUCCGGAUUUAUUGGGUUUAAAGGGAGCGUAGGUGGAUUGUUAAGUCAGUUGUGAAAGUUUGCGGCUCAACCGUAAAAUUGCAGUUCAAACUGGCAGUCUUGAGUGCAGUAGAGGUAGGCGGAAUUCGUGGUGUAGCGGUGAAAUGCUUAGAUAUCACGAAGAACUCCGAUUGCGAAGGCAGCUCACUGGACUGCAACUGACACUGAGGCACGAAAGUGUGGGGAGCAAACAGGAUUAGAUACCCUGGUAGUC
rnacentral:rRNA from 1 species